CUGGCAGGGGAAGGCUGGAGCCAUCCUGUCCAGCCAAACACCAGGUCUCUGGAAAAUAGUGGAGAGCAGGAAGCAGGCCUGUGUGGCAGAGGAUGCGCGGCAGCCUGGGCACCACUCACUUCUUGCUUUAUAUCAGCUGACCAGGGAUGCUCGGCAAAAUAACGAUGAGCAAGCACUACUGAAAAUGCAGCAAGGAAGUGGAUUUUUAAAAACACUAAAGGUAAUACUUUAAGCCUUCAUUCUUUCUGUCUGUCCGUGUCCCCCGAACACACAACCCCAGUCUGUGUGCAAGCAAAGGCCAGAGGUUUGUGUACAGUAUCUUCUUCAGUCACUUCCCACCUUAUUAUUUUUGCUUAUUUUAUUUUAUUUUAUUUUAUUUUAUUUUAUUUUAUUUUAUUUUAUUUUAUGAGUGUGAGUGUUUUGCCUAUAUGUGCGUAUAUGCAUCAUGUGUAUUUGUGCCCACAGAGGUCAGAGGAGGUCGUAGGAUUCCUUGGAGCUGGAGUGACACACAGUUGUGAGCUGCCCAGUGGGUGCUGGGAGUCUAACCUGGGCCCUUUGUAAAAGGAACACAUGCUCUUAAACUCUGGGCCAUCUCUCCAGCCCCCUCAGGGUCACUCACAGAACCUGGAGUUCACUGGCUGCACUAGACUGGCCGGCCAGUGACCCUGAGGUUCUCUUGAGCCAGGCUCUCAGAGGUAAAGUAGAACAUGGCUCAUGGCUCGAUGAGGUAGGGUGACACAGGAGCUGAGUUGUGACUGCCACAUCAGAACAGUCACAUAACAUAAUAGGUUAGUAAAUGGCUGGGUAGUAACACAGCAGGUGCAAAGGUCUUGAGGUAGAGAAUCAAUCACCCAGUAAGGCCAAGGAACAGAGGUGUGGUUGUGUCAGGGAAAGAAUGAAAAACUGCUCCACUCACAGAAAGGUUAGCAGGGACCGAGUGUGUGUGUGUGUGGGGGGCGCUCUGAGUACUAGUGGGAGGGGCAGGGUUUAUGGCAAUGCCCUGGGGGACUCUGGCAGGUUUUAAG
rnacentral:lncRNA from 1 species